AGCGAGCGCUGGCGGCAGGCUUAACACAUGCAAGUCGAGCGGGCCCUUCGGGGUCAGCGGCGGACGGGUGAGUAACGCGUGGGAACGUGCCUUCUGGUCUGGAAUAACCCUGGGAAACUAGGGCUAAUACCGGAUACGCCCUUUUGGGGAAAGGUUUACUGCCGGAAGAUCGGCCCGCGUCUGAUUAGCUAGUUGGUGGGGUAACGGCCUACCAAGGCGACGAUCAGUAGCUGGUCUGAGAGGAUGAUCAGCCACACUGGGACUGAGACACGGCCCAGACUCCUACGGGAGGCAGCAGUGGGGAAUAUUGGACAAUGGGCGCAAGCCUGAUCCAGCCAUGCCGCGUGAGUGAUGAAGGCCUUAGGGUUGUAAAGCUCUUUUAUCCGGGACGAUAAUGACGGUACCGGAGGAAUAAGCCCCGGCUAACUUCGUG
rnacentral:rRNA from 1 species